rnacentral:lncRNA from 10 species
CGUAGCAAAGGCCUCCAACACCUGGCCGCCGCCAUCUUUGCCCGCGAUUCCGGACCCAGAGGUCAACUUAAGCAAUUGUCCUUGCCCUCUUGCUGUAGGGACCAAUCGGAAAGCGGAAUCUGAGCCAGUCUGGGAAAGGACGAUUCUCAGUGGGCGUGGGUUAUGUUGCGUCAUUCAUGGUUUAGCCAAUCAUAUAACUUCUCCAGUCGUGGUUUCCUGCGUUUGUAGAUGGAAGGAAGAACUUGUGUGCUUAGACCUGACGCUGGGAGGAGAUGCUGCCACCUAGGUUACUUGUAGGACCCUAUACGGCAACCUCCUUUGCCAGGAACUAUUUAUAAACAUCCUGCAGGAAAAUGAGUCAAGGAAGCUUUUCUUUUGAGCUAUUUACAGCUUUUAGCAAUUGAGUAAAGUAUACUCCUGUGAACAAAAUUUGGAACAUAUUUGUUUCUCUCUAACUGAUUUCUCCAGAAUUUGGAACUAGUUAACCAGGAACCCUCUCUUGGGGUGUGGAUCGAGACCCCUUUCUGGUAACGAGAGCACAGCUUGGUUUUAUACAUUUUAAGGAGACAUGAGACAUCAAUCAACGUAUAUAAGAUGAACAUUUUGAUCUGAAAAGGUGGGCCAACUUGAAGCAGGGAUGGGACUUGCGGGCCAUAGGUAGAUAAGAGCAAAUGGUUGCAUUCUUUUGAGUUUCUGAUUUGCCUCACCAAAGGAGGUAAUAGAUAUGCAUUUAUCUCAGUGACCAGAGAGGUGGCUUUGAGUAGAAUAGGAAACAGGUUUGCCCUAAGCAGUUCCCAGCUUGACUUUUCCCUUUAGCCUAGAGAUUUUGGGGUCCCAAUAUUAAUUUUCCUUUCACAUCUUGUUAAUCUGUCUUUUGUUACAGGGAAGUCUCAAUUAAGAAUUAUGAAGGCUAGAGAAAACUAUUUUUUUCUCUCCUACAGUUUUGUAGGUCUUACAGAAUAAUGGAGUGUGUGAGUUAAUCUAGCAGUUAUGUGAAGUGGAGAUUUUUGAAAGACUUUUUAUGUAUAAUUAUCUGUUAAGAGUAGAGAUUAGGCUGGGUGUGGUGGCUCACGCCUGUAAUCCCAACACUUUGAGAGGCUGAAGCAGGUGGAUCACCGGAGGUCAGGAGUUUGAGACCAGCCUGGCCAACAUGGUGAAACCCCAUCUCUACUAAAAAUACAAAACUUAGCCAAGCGUGGCGGUGGCUGCUGUAAGCCCAGCUACUUGGGAGGCUGAGGCAGGAGAAUUGCUUGAACCCGGAAGGCGGAGGUUGUUGUGAGCUGAGAUCAUGCCAUUGGACUCCAGCCUUGGUGACAAGAGUGAGACUCUGUCUCUAAAUAAAUAAAUAAGAGUAGAGAUUAUGUCUUUAAGAUUUCAGGAAGUAUGUCUUGAUGGCCCAGGGAAAGGAAGCAAAGAACGUGGGCAAGAAAGAGUGAGUCAGUACUGUAAAGUGUAGUGGUUAGGGGUAAGAACUCUGGAAUCAGGUUAUUUGGGUUAUGUUCCUGGCUCUGUCAGAGGUGUUUAAACCAGAGUGACUCCAUCUUGAAUAGGGGCUGGGUAAAAUAAUGCUGAGACCUACCGGGCUGCAUUCAAAGGAGGUUAGGCAUUCUUAGUCACAGGAUGAGAUAGGAGGUCAACACAAGAUACAGGUCACAAAGAUCUUGCUGAUAAAAUAGGUUGUGGUAGAGAAGCCAGCCCAAACCCACCAAAAUCAACAUGGUGACGAAAGUGACCUGUGGUCUUCCUGACUGCUCAUUAUAUGCUAAUUAUAAUGCAUUAGCAUGCUAAAAGACACUCCCACCAGCACCAUGAUGAUUUACAAAUGCCAUGACUAUGUCAGGUAAUUACCCUAUAUGGCGUAAAAAAGGGAGAACCCCCAGUUCUUGGAAUUGUCCAACCCUUUCCCAGAAAACUCAUGAAUAAUUCACCCCUUGUUUAGCAUAUAAUCAAGAAAUAACUAUAAAUAUUCUUGGUCAAACAGCCCAUGCCACUGCUGUGCCUAUGGAGUAGCCAUUCUUUUAUUCCUUUACUUUCUUAAUAAACUUGCUUUCACUUUACUGUAUGGUCUCAUCCUGAAUUCUUUCUUGUGUGAAGUCUCAGAACCCUCACUUGGGGUCUGGAUCAGGACUGCUUUCCUGUAACAGCUCCUCUACUUUAAUAAGUUGUGUGAGUUUGGAGAAGUUACUUAAGGCCUCAUGGCCUCAAUUUUCUUAUCUAUGUAGGAUUAUUAUUGCCUGUCCUGAUUUCUCACAGGGUCACUAAAUAAAAUGCUCUUUAAGCAUUAUGUUCUUAUUAAUAUUAUUAUUUGGGGGUGGUAAUACAAGAAGAGGAAGUACAUUAUUAGCACUAGAAACCAAUUUAUUCUCAUGAUAUAGCAAUUUCAUUUUUAAAAUAUCUAGUAUUGGAAGCAUAUGUAAAGGUUAUUUUGUAUCAGCACCCAUUUUAAUACCUGACUUCUUUCUUGUAUCUUAUCAAGUGAAUGAUGAAGUCACCUACUGCCAGAGUAUCCCUGUUUAUUUUUUGGACUACUCUGUUAAUUCAUUUAUGUUCUCAUCAAUGAUUUAUUUAAUGUUUAAUGUAUGUUAAGUGUUAGGCAUAGAAAUAUGACUUGUCCCUGUUCUUGAGGACCGCAAAGCAUAGCUGUAAAUACCAUUUCAUGAAAAGAUAAUUUGAAUACAAUGUAAUAGGUACUACAUUAAGAAUACAUAAAAAGCAGUGUGUGAAUCCAGUGUUUUUCAUUACACCAAAUUGAGCUUAAUAUUCCUAUAACUUCUGACUUAUUCAAUUUUGAUUCCUGUGAAAACAUGGAUUGGUUGUGGCAGAUCGUUUUGGAAUCCAAUGACCAUUCUCUUGUCCUCUUCUUCCUGACUAGUAGAACCUGAAUUGUGUUCAGGCAUUUACUCUCCAGUGUGCUCAGGAAAGGUAACAGUCCCCUUAGUCCAUGGGGUAUAUCAUGAUUAGCCUGCGUUACAAUGGUUGAGGGCAAUUUUUCUUGAAGCUUCUUGGAUGGGUUUUCCAGUUUGAUAAAGGGAGGUACCCCCAUCAUCUUCAACAAUAGUUGUUAUAUCUUCAUGUAAUGCUUGGAAUUGUCUUAGCCAUUUACAAUCAUGCAAAGAGACAUCACAGGAACACCAAGAAUGACAGAAUGGAAAGAUGAUCCUGGUUCCUUUAUGACAUUUUUUGUCCUGCUGAAUUAAGCAACUGUGCAGUAAAGGAUUAACUCGCCAGACUCAGAGUGUUAAAAUUCUGUUCAUUACAAAAAUAAAUAAAUGAAUGAAUAAAUAAAAUAACUGGCCCUGGGGUUUCUGAGGGAUAACUUCUAGUCCCUUGGUAUAUCCUGCUUGAUGAGAGUAUCUUUGUAUACCUGGGGCUUUGGAACACAUAUUAUCAGAUUGGCCUCUGAAAAGACUAGAGAACAAGUAACUAAAGUCAGUCAGGCAAGCACUCUGUGCCUAUGUGACUGACCCGUAAAAAAAAACUCUGGAUACAAAUGCUCAAGUAAGCUUCCUCAGUUGGCAACACUUUGUAUGAAUUGUCACAUAUUAUUGCUGGGAGAAGUAAGCAUUGUCCAUGUAACUCCAAUAGAAGAGGACAACUGGAAGGUAGCACCUGUUUUCUCCAGGACUCUACCCUAUGCACAUUUUUUCUUUACUAAUAUUAAUGUGUAUUAACUUACUGUAAAAAACUAUAACCAUGAAUAUCACCACUUUUCUGAGUUCUGUGAGUCCUAGCAAAUCAUCAAAUCUAAGAAUGAUUUUGCAUCCCUGAAACAACAACCCUGGAAACACCCACCUCCAUAUUACAUAUUAUCUGAAUUAGGGGUGGAACCAUUUCAAACUGUCAAUUCAUACUGAGUUUCUGUGUAGCAAAGUGUAUGAGUUAUGACUAAGCUACAGCCCCUUCUCUGUAGUUAUCAUUAAAACUCAAAUUCAACAGUUUACAUUUAUCUCAUUUUCUGCCAUCUUACCCAGAUCAGACAAGCCUAUCUUUUCAAGUCAGUACCUAUGGGUACUGACUCUGUUACCAGCAUUUUUGUUAUUAUUCCUUCCUCAUUAUUUGCCAAAGUGCAUGAGAUGUCAUCAAUCCUGAUCAAAUCUUUAUGCUUGUAUAUCUUCCAUAAGUUAAAUCCCAUGAGAAUGGAAAUCUUAUAUGUCUUGUUCACAGCCAUCUUCAUACCACUAGAAGCAUACAUAUUUUUGUCAAAAUAGAUAAGAAGAGUUUAUCUCUAGGUAGAUUCUUUUUAACACAUACAUUUACCCUAGCAAUAGUAAUAUAAUUACCCUUCAACAUUCAUGUGCAAUGUAUUGUCUAUUAUAUUGUCUACAACUAGCUAGGAUAAGAACACCUAGGAGUAGAAUGUAUUUAAGAGUUCUUUUCAUGUUUGUGAGAUAAGAAAGAGGGAGGCCUUUUGAAGCAUAAAAAAGAGCCCACAGGGGAAAGGUCUGGCUUGGAAGAUAUAGUAAAAAAUUCUGACUUUCAGUAGCCACAUGACUAUGCUAAGCUUCUGGACAAAUAAGGGAAGAAAAAGGUAGCCAGGGGCAUGUCUACUGAGACAGGAGUAAUUUGAGUGUCUUACUUGCCACCAGUGCAAAACUUAAGGAGGGGUUUUAAAAACUCAAUAAUCAACAUAAAAUAAAAUAUAUUUAAAAAUAUAAUAUAUUUAAAAGUCAAAAUUAAUGCCAAAAAUCAUAAAAAACAGAAUAAAACUAGGAUCAAUAGAAAUGCUAAUCCACUCAUAAUCUAUUCACAGUCCAUAAGUGAGGCACCAAGAGGUCAUGCACACAAUGCUUCCUUGAAUAUUAGACCGAUGAGUUUCCUGGCAUCCUAUUCUCUCUAUCCAUUUGUAGUUUCUGCUUCCUCCUCCCUAACAAAGACUUUCUGAGGAGUUACCUGUGAAUUUAAAUAUACUCUUUUGGAGAUAGGACCAGAUUUCAAUAUGGCUUAGGUGUACCAUCAAACUGAUUAUACCCCAAACACCAGGCUAUGUAUUUUCCUACUUCUCUGUCAUUAAAAUAUGAACACAUCUGCAACAUGAAUUAUUUGAAAUUUAACCAUAUAUUUUAAAUGUUCUUUCAAUACAAUGUUCUUUCAAUACACAAUACAAUGUUCCUUAACUCAUGCACAUGGCAGUAAUCCGUUAUAUUUAGAACAUAUGGCUGCAUUUGAUAUAUCAAAUGUCUUUGGCAAGUGAAGUCAUCCCAGUUUAAUGAAAACUUGUCUGUAAGAUGACAUAGGAGAAAAACAAUAAUUUUCCUCUCAUUCUUCAAUAUAUUUCCUUCAAAUUUAUGUUGAUCUAAGUUGGCCUAAAAUUAAUAUUUUUCUAAAAUAACACAAGUAGUUAAAAUAGUCUUAAAGAAUUUAUGUAUAGGCAUCAAAAGUAUGAUAUUCACAAUUGGAAAGUAAAUUGUUACCACUUUUCUGGGGAGUAUUUUGGUGAUAUAGUUCAGUCUGUUAAAAUGUCCAUUACUUCUGACCCUGAGGAAAAAAUUUGUAAGUCAAUCAGAGUGACUCAAUAUAAUUUAACAUAUUAAGUACACACACACACACACACACACACACACACACACACUCAACUUUUAAUGGUGACAGUGGGUUGCUUUUCUACUCUCUGGAAAAAGUUUAAUUUUGCCCAGGUCAAGGACUAGAAGCUCACCAAACAUGGCACCAUCAUUUCCACCCAAUCUCCAGCAGAUCUAAGUCCCUACUUCCCAGUCACGAGGGUUGAAAGUACUCAGGCUGUUGACCUGCAGGCAGGGGCAGUCGUUUUUCUAUGACCACUUGGUUGGUGAGUUUCUUCCAUCCAGCUUCCUAGUCCUCUGUCCAGAAUAGUUUUCUCUCUCUCUCUUCACAAUUAGUGAAAGAAACCCUGUUCCUCUAAACUUCUUUCUCCCUUGCAUUUGAGUCACCACUCUGCCUCUUCCCCUUCCUCUAGGCCCGAUUUUGUAUAAUCAUUGUGAGGGGUAUAUAUAGAUAUAUAUCGAUAUAGAUAUAUAUAUAGAUAUAUAUAUACAUUAGAUAUAUCUAUAUAUAUAGAUAUAUCGAUAUAUAUCUACCUAAUAGUAUAGGACUGAUAAAAUAAGUUGUAGUAUAUUUAAAUUAAGACUACUAUGAAACCAUUAAAAUAACAUUUUUGAAAUAGUAAAAUAGUUUUGAAAUAAAGAUGAGUUUAAAACCCAAGAUUAAAAAAAUGUAUAAACUACAUGAUUGGAUAAGAAAUACACACAUAAUGACACGGAAAAAGCCAGGAAAGAAGUGCAAUAAAAUAUUAACAAAAGAUGAAAGCAAAUGAUGGGAUUAUUGGUAUUUUUCCUCCUUGUAAUUUCUAAUUUAUCUUUACUGGUUACAGAUUCCCCUUCCCCUUCCCCUUCCCCUUCCCCUUCCCCUUCCCCUUCCCUUUCCCUUUCCCCUUCCCUUUCCCCUUCCCUUCCACACAGUUUCGGUCUCAUUGCCCAGGCUGGAGUGCAGUGCCAUGAUCUCGGCUCACUGCAACCUCCGCCUCCUGGGUUCAAGCGAUUCUUCUGCCUUAGCCUCCUGAGUAGCUGGGAUUACAGGUAUCUGCCACCACACCCAGCUUAUUUUGUAUAUUUUUAGUAGAGAUGGGGUUUCACCAUGUUGGCCAGGCUGGUCUCAAACUCCGGACCUCAGGUGAUCCACCCGUCUCAGCCUCCCAAAGUGCUGGAAUUACAGGCAUGAGCAACCGUGCCCGUCAGCUUAUUUCUUUUAAAAAUCAGAACAAAACUUGGUUUAGAUGUAAGAAAUGUGGAAGAAAAGUAAUGUUUCACCAGAAUCUGAAUACAUGCAUUAUAUAUUAUUCCAUCAAGUGGACAAUUACUUGCUGAAUAAACCUGAUCAUGUACAGAUUCCAAAGUCGAAUUCUGGUUGUACUGAUUCUCUACACUGAAGUUUAAUAGUCUGUGCCCAAGUUCAAAUUUAGAAAGGAUAAACUGGAAAAUUAAUGAUAUUUUAAUGACUGUAUCUUUAUGCAGAGCCUUGUGUGCUACAUACAUUUUACAUACACUCCUGUAGGGGAUGGGCAACCAUUGUAGAACUAUGAGCAGAGAAAUGUUUGCAUAUGAGAUAACUCAGAUGGUAGUGAAGAAUAGUAGGAGAGGCCAGGCUAUGCAGGUGAGGAAGUGGAACCAGCGAGUCCUUUUAAAUUUUGUAAUUUAAUAUUGAACAGAUAUGACAUUGAUAAAUUUUUGUAAAAUUUGAAGAAUAAAACAAAAUAAACAAUCACAUACCUACCUUCCAACACAAGAAAUAGGACAUUGCCAGUUGCUUUGAAGAGUUCCCCGUCCGCUGUUACUCCAAUCCUAUCCCUCCUUUUCUCCACCAGAGGUAGCCACUGUCUUCAAUUUUAUGUUUAUUAUUACUUUGUUAAAAGUUCAACAUAUGUUUCACUUUCACAGUGAACAACUUGUAUGGCUUUUCAAUGGUUUAGUUUUGCAUGUUCUUGAACUUUAUAUAAAUGAAGGCAUGCUUUGUAUUUUCUUCUGUAAUGGGUUUGGUCAUUCAACUUUAAGUUUAUGAGAUAUAUCCAUGUUGAAUUUUGUAGCUGUGGUUUGAUGAUUUUUACAUUAUAUAGUAUUACAUUCCAUGGAUAGUUCUCAGUAGAUAAUCCUCCUAUUGUUUAACAUUUGCGUUGCUUCUCAUUUUGACCUAUUUUAAACAGGCCUCUUUAAAUAUACACUUCUCUGUAGUGUAUGCUAGAAAUGGAGUGGCUGGAAUAAAAGUGGCUGAAUCAUCUUCAACUCUAGUAAGAUGUCAAACUGUUUUCUAAAAGUGUUUUAUUUUAACUAUUAUAUGUCAAUUUUGAACAGCUCUUUCACUUACUAGCAAUUUAUUAUCAGCAACACUUGUUAUUGUCAGACUUUUAAGUUUUCAUUCACUGGGUAACAUGACAUCUUUUUGUGGUUCUAAUUUGCAUUUCCAUGCCUACUAAUGAAUUUGAGCUUGUUUUAGUACAAUUAUUGGUCAUUUUUAUUUCCUCUGCUGUGAAAUGCCUGUUCAGGAUUUGUUCAUCUUUUUUUAAAAUAGUUUGCAAAUAUGUUGCCUAGCUUGUGGCUUGACUUUUCAGUUUCUUCAGUAUUACAUUUGAUAAAGAGAAGUUCUUAAACUUCAAUGUGAUCAUAUUUAUGUUUUGCUCAUUUAAAAAAACCUGGUUAAAUAUUUCACAAAUCGACAUUAUGAUAUAUUAUCUUCCAAAAUUUUAAUAAUUUUGUCUUUUUUCACAUUUUAGUCUUUAGCUCAGCUGGAAUUCAUUUCUGUGUGUGGUGUGAGAUAAGUCUUUUUCAUGUUUUUCCCUAUGAAAUAAAUUAUUUCCUUCUGUAUUGCAGGUAGCUGAGACCAAUGAUGCUGACCUCCCUCAAAAGCUGCAUUUCUGAAUUUCUGAAGGCAAACUGUCUGCCUAUAUUGUACAGCAAAAUAAUUUCCUGUAUUAAAACGUUUUUAUUGCUCUAAAUUUCUAGAUUAAACUCUGCUUAGGUAUUGCUAAGAGGGUAGCCAAGUAUAGAAACUUAAAUUUACUGACAGAAAUCUAGAGAAUGCUUAAUUUUUUUUCCAGCAGUGAAGUAGAAGAGACAGGGAUAUCCCAGAAGGUUAUGCAAAACAUCAAGAGAAGAUGAGAGGAGUCUAUAUGUCAGAAUACACAUUUCCCACCUUGCCCAACAGUAGAAAAACAUAAGAAGAGAAAAACAUUAAAAAAUGACAAGGAAGUUAAUGGAAGUCAGCAAUGUGAUGGUGUUUGGAGGUGGAGCCUUCAGAAGGUAAUUAAUGCCCUUGUAAGAAGAGGCCAGAGAGCUUGCGCACCUUCUUCCUGCCAUGUGAGGAGCCAAGAAGCCGGCUGUCUGCAACCUGCAAGAGGACCCUCACUAGAAGCUAGCCAUACUGGCAUCCUCAUCUUGGCUUUCCAACUUCCAGAACUGUGAGAAGUAUAUGUUUGUGGUUUAGUCAAUGGUCUAUGGUAAUUUUUUUAUAGCAGUCCCAGCCAAGACAGUGCCUCAUUUACUACAUACCAUUUAUAUUAUUAUAUAGGCUCCUUUCAGAAACCCAUGUUCAAAUAAGAGAUAAGAUACUGAAACACAUAACACCUUCACUAGUUUUUAGUAUACAAAUAUUGAGAAAUAGUUUGUUAUUAACUAUCUCAUCCAAGAAAUGCAGAUUCAUGUUGUUUCUAAUUUUUUAUAUAUAAUUGACAAAAUGAAGAAACUUAACACCAUCCUAGAUUUUAGCUGCCCAAAGAAUGAAAAGAAUGAAAAAAAAAUCUUUGAAAACCCACAAGUGAUAUGGAUCUAAUUUAUGGUUAAAUAGAUAUAGAUAACAAACAGAAUACGCCUGUUUAAAACUGUUAAAAUGACAUUGGUUCUAAUUAUACUUUUAUUUAAAUUGAAAGACAAGGCAUUUAUAUGGUAUCUCUAACCAUCACAACUUUUGUGUGACAAAAAGAAAUUAUCACCAAAAUACACCUCCUUAAGUAAGUGUCUGAUUUCACACUUCCAGAAAAAGUGCUCUUUCUGGUCAAGCCAGCAAGAAUUGAGAAAGAUUAAGAAAGUGCUUCAAAGAUGUUUAUUAAAAAGUUGUCAUAAAAAUGUGAAGUAGAUGUAGCAUCAAGCAUACCAAAUAAAGUAAAACUGUCAUCAAGAAGAUUCAACAGCUAUGAAAAGAGUUCUUCAAAAUAUGAUAUGUUUUUCUAGAUGAUAAUAAAAUUUAUCAAUUCCAAAUGUCCACAUUAGUCUUUCAUAAAGACACCAAUGAGUCACAGGAAAAAAAAUUAAAAAUAAAAAAACCCUAUCUCAGGGAAUCAUGCUAACAACCUGAUGUGUUUUCUUCCACAUAUUUAUGUCUGCUUAUAAGUAUUUACAAACAUAUAUUCGCAUAUAUGCAUUUUGAAUUUUUUCUGUUGCUGCACUUAAAUUUUUUUCAUAAUAAAACAAGACUCCUGCAAUUUGCUUUUUUAGGUAGACUAUGUAUCCCUGACAACCAUCCAGGUCAGCUUGAUGAUUAACACAUUUGUUUUAAUAGCUACAUAGUAUUCUAUAAGUAUGAUUUAUUCAAGUGUGUGUGUGUGUGUGUGAGAGAGAGAGAGAGAGAGAGACAGAGACAGAAAAAGAGAGACAGAGGAGGAUAUUCAGGGGUUCUGUCCACUACAACAUUUUGUCACAGGCAACAGUGCUGAAAUGAAAACACUUGAACACAUAUUUUUAUGAUUUUACUUUUUAUGAUUUUCAAAAGUGUGUUUGCAAGGUCAAAGAAUAGAUGUGUUGCUCUUAAUAAAUAUCAAAAGAUUAUUUACUACUACCCAAAUUAUACUGUAAUUUCUUCUUGAACCGUUUAAUUUGUAUCCUCCUAUCAGUGAGGUUGAGAAAUAUUUUAUGCUUACUGACUUUUGCAAUAUUUCUUUCACGAAUUAUUGCCAUUUUCUAUUGUCCAUUUUUCUGUUAGGCUCUAUGAUUAGCUUAUUAGGCUUUGUGGUUUAUAUGCAUCAGAAAGAGUAAGACUUAAUUUUGUGUGGAACAAAUACCCUGGUGUAGCAUGUUUCAUUAGAAUUUGUUUAUAGAGAUAUUUGCCAUAGAAAAGUUAUUUUUUAUUAGUAAAGAAUGCUUUGUAUUUCCUUUGUGGCUUCUAAGUACCCUUUUUUGGUUAUUAUACCUUUAUCCAUAAGUAUCUUUAAAUAUUACAAAAAUUACAUAUUCUUUUAAAUAUUUUAAAGAUUUAUUAUAUUCAUUUAGGUUUUAAUCCACUUUUAAUUUUUUAGAUGAAAAGUAAGAGAAAAGUAUAUAAAUCAUGAGCACAAAUUGAACUAACCAAGGUAACAAUCAAUCUGCUCAAGAAAUUGAGCAUCACCACCACCUCCUCCUGCACUGUCCAAAUCAGCACCCCAGUACUCCAAAGCAAAUGUUACUCACUACACUGACUUCUAACACAAUAGACUUGUUUUGUCUGUUUUCAACUAUACAAAAAUGAAUCAUAGAGUAUGUGUUGUUUUGUAUUUGGCUCCUUUCACUAAAAUUUUGGUUUAUAAAAUUCAUCCAUGUGGUUGAACACAGUUGUAGAUUGUUCAUUUUAAUUGUUUUACAGUAUUUAUUGUGUGACUAAAACACUACUUAUUUAUUCUAUAAUUGACAGACUUUGGGUUGCUUUUGCUUUGGGAGUAUAAACAUUUUUAUAUCUAUGCUUUAGGUACAUGUUCAUGAAUUUGUGCUGAAUAAUUACUUGAGUGUGAAAUUGUUAUGUUAUGCGAUAUAUAGUAGUCAAAUAUAGAAGAUAAUGCAAAACAAUUUAAAGUGAUUGUAGCAGUUUGCUGUAUUCUACAGCAGCAGAUUGUAGCAGAUUACUGUAUUCUACAGCAGCAGCAUGUGAGAUUGCCAGUUGCUCAAAUUCGUGCCAAUACUUGGUAUUUUUUAUCUUUUAAUUUUAGACAUUCUGGAGAGUGUGUAGUAAUUUUUCAUCUUGGAAAAUUACAUUAAAUUAGUAUCCAUUUCUCUAAUUUUGAUAACAUUUUCAUAAGUUUAUUGUUAUUAGAUAUUUUCUUUAUUUUGAAGUGCUUAUUGUCCAUUUUACAUUGGGUCAUCUGUUAUUGAAUUGUAAACAUUCCUUGAAUAUUUAAAUAUGAGUGCUUGGUCAGUUUUUGUCACAAAUAUCCUCUUUUUUCACUUUUUGCCCUUUUAUUAUUCUGAAAAUGCCAAUUGAUUAAAAUUAAUUUUACUAUUGUUCAAUAUAUCAUGCUUUGUUUUUUCACAGUGUGUUUUGUGUCCUGUUUAAGAAUUCCUUCUCUCAUUUGGCAUUCAUUUGGCAUUCAUUUGGCUUGGCAAAAUUGGCG